UACGUAGGGGGCAAGCGUUGUCCGGAAUCAUUGGGCGUAAAGCGCGUGUAGGCGGCUCGAUAAGUCUGCUGUGAAAGUCCAGGGCUCAACCCUGGGAUGCCGGUGGAUACUGUCGAGCUCGAGUCCGGAAGAGGCGAGUGGAAUCCUGGUGUAGCGGUGAAAUGCGUAGAUAUCGAGAGGAACACCUGCGGCGAAGGCGGGUAGCUGGGCCGACACUGACGCUCAUGCACGAAAGCGUGGGGAGCAAACAGG
rnacentral:rRNA from 1 species